rnacentral:hammerhead_ribozyme from 1 species
AUCCAGCUGACGAGUCCCAAAUAGGACAAAGUGCCUGUCCUGGAU